UUUGGAGACAUCUGGUAGGUG
ensembl:piRNA 21ur-5427 ncRNA